GAGGGUAUAGUUCAGUAGUAGAAUGUAUGCUUAGCAUGCACGAGGUCCUGUGUUCAAUCCUCAGUACUUUCA
rnacentral:tRNA from 1 species